CCGAGUGAGGGCCCUCUGGGUCCAACCUCCCACCCGUGUUUACCGUACCCUGUUGCUUCGGCGGGCCCGCCCUCAGCGGCCGCCGGGAUGGCCCCUUGCGCCUCCGGGCCCGCGCCUGUCGAUGGCCCUAUUAAAACUCUUGUCAAAACGUGUCGUCUGAGUUUAUCUAAACAAAUAAAAACCA
rnacentral:misc_RNA from 1 species